CACGUAGUUAGCCGUGGCUUUCUGAUUAGGUACCGUCAAGAUGUGCACAGUUACUUACACAUUUGUUCUUCCCUAAUAACAGAGUUUUACGAGCCGAAACCCUUCAUCACUCACGCGGCGUUGCUCCGUCAGGCUUUCGCCCAUUGCGGAAGGUUCCCUACUGCUGCCUCCCGUAGGAGUCUGGACCGUGUCUCAGUUCCAGUGUGGCCGAUCACCCUCUCAGGUCGGCUACGUAUCGUCGCCUUGGUAAGCCGUUACCUUACCAACUAGCUAAUACGGCGCGGGUCCAUCUAUAAGUGAUAGCAAAACCAUCUUUCACUUUAGAACCAUGCGGUUCUAAAUGUUAUCCGGUAUUAGCUCCGGUUUCCCGAAGUUAUCCCAGUCUUAUAGGUAGGUUACCCACGUGUUACUCACCCGUCCGCCGCUAACUUCAAAGGAGCAAGCUCCUUAUCUGUUCGCUCGACUUGCAUGUAUUAGGCACGCCGCCAGCGUUCAUCCUGAGCCAGGAUCAAACUCU
rnacentral:rRNA from 1 species